rnacentral:rRNA from 1 species
UACGUAGGGGGCUAGCGUUGUCCGGAAUCAUUGGGCGUAAAGCGCGUGUAGGCGGUCCGGUAAGUCCGCUGUGAAAGUCGGGGGCUCAACCCUCGGAUGCCGGUGGAUACUGUCGGGCUUGAGUACGGAAGAGGCGAGUGGAAUUCUCGGUGUAGCAGUGAAAUGCGUAGAUAUCGAGAGGAACACCAGUGGCGAAGGCGAGUCUCUGGACGAAUCCUGACACUGAGGCACGAAAGCCAGGGGAGCAAACAGG